rnacentral:tRNA from 9 species
GCGUCAGUAGCUCAGUUGGAUAGAGCAGUUGGCUACGAACCAGCGUGCCGGGGGUUCGACUCCUCUCUGACGCACCA